AGUUGUAAUUUGUAGAUUGUAUCUUGAGAGCGGAUUAAAGUCUGUUGGAACACAGCGCCUUAGAGGGUGACAGCCCCGUAAAAUCUAUUCUCAUUGUAAGAUACUUUCGAAGAGUCGAGUUGUUUGGGAAUGCAGCUCUAAGUGGGAGGUAAAUUCCUUCUAAAGCUAAAUAUUGACGAGAGACCGAUAGCGAACAAGUACUGUGAAGGAAAGAUGAAAAGCACUUUGAAAAGAGAGUGAAAAAGUACGUGAAAUUGUUAAAAGGGAAGGGUAUUGAAUCAGACUUGGUGCUGUUGUUCAACUGUGUUUCGGCACAGUGUACUCAGCAGUACUAGGCCAAGGUGGGGUGUUUGGGAGUGAAAAAGAAGUUGGAACGUAACUCUUCGGAGUGUUAUAGCCUACUUUCAUAGCUCCUCAGGCGCCUCAGGACUGCGCUUCGGCAAGGACCUUGGCAUAAUGAUUCUAUACCGCCCGUCUUGAAACACGGACC
rnacentral:rRNA from 1 species